rnacentral:lncRNA from 1 species
CUCAGAAAAUUUUCCAAUACGUCACUCUAGACACAAGACGGCAAAACUUCAGUCAAAGAAAUGUUUAGGGCACACGGCCUGAAUAACCUUAGAGACAUGGCAAUGACGGCACACUGAACAACUCUGGAACGGAUGACUCUGGAGCGACUACAGUCCUUCAAAUCUUCCAGUCACCGAGCUUUGGAAACAAACCAUCCCAGCAGCCUCUAAGAAAGAAAACUGAGGACUUAACAAAUGGAGAGAAAUAAGAAAACCCUUUCCCUGUUUCUUCUGCUGCCUGUGCUGCUGCUCUGCAGAAGUGAUGAGUGUCCCAGCCUGCCACAGAAUCUCAAUUGCUACACUGACUACAAUAGAAUCAUCACAUGUUUGUGGAACAGCAGAUCCGUGUCUGAUGACACUGCAUGCACGAUACAUGCUCAAUAUAAAUCUAGCUACAUUUCUUACAACGCUUCCUGUGACCUAAAGUCUGUUGACAUCUCCAGACCAGCCCUAAAGGAGUGCUCCCUGAUCUUUGAAAUGGAAUACACUUUUCUGUCUUUCCAUGUGUUGUCCAUGAAUCUGAGCUGUGCUCAUAUGAAGCAGAGUCUAAUCACUUCCUACAUGCCAUCCUGUCACAUAAAGGUGAAUCCUCCUUCGAAGCCAGAAGUCAACGUCACCUCUGUUUCCUGGUUGUCCCAAGACCCUGAACAUGAAAGGAUCAGUUCAUACAGAAGUGAACUGCAGUGGAA